CGCGUUGCCGCCUUUCUUUUUUGUCUACUGGCUCCUACAGUUUUCAAUAGCAUUUUAUUGACUCUCUCAUCAUCACCACUGACGUACAGACUGCUCAUCGCCACUUUCGGUACUUAGUGAAAAGCUCCAACACAUUGAAGAGGUGCUGUCCAGGAAGGCGUCUACCGGCAGAAAAGCAGCUUGCUAGGUUGAUUUGUGGUAGGAGCGCAAAAAUCGGCCGUCUCGUCUCCAGUAUUGUUCCUCUCCACUCAACAUGAACCCCAAGCUCAAGUUAUACAAGAAGGUAUAUUUUCAAUCCUACAUCCUUUUAUUACUGAUAUGUGUGACUAUAAAGUGGGACGUUGCAACUUUUUGGAGAUUGAGGCAACUGCUCUCACAAUUCAUGUAUCUCCAAGAUAGAUGUGUUUAAGAUGAUGAAAAUUAAUAGAUAGAAAAAUAAAAUUACACAUUGU